GACGAACGCUGGCGGCGUGCCUAAUACAUGCAAGUAGAACGCACAGUUUAUACCGUAGCUUGCUACACCAUACACUGUGAGUUGCGAACGGGUGAGUAACGCGUAGGUAACCUGCCUGGUAGCGGGGGAUAACUAUUGGAAACGAUAGCUAAUACCGCAUAAUAUUGAUUAUUGCAUGAUAAUUGAUUGAAAGAUGCUAUUGCAUCACUACCAGAUGGACCUGCGUUGUAUUAGCUAGUAGGUGAGGUAACGGCUCACCUAGGCGACGAUACAUAGCCGACCUGAGAGGGUGAUCGGCCACACUGGGACUGGGACACGGCACAGGAUCCUACGGGAGGCAGCAGUAGGGAAUCUUCGGCAAUGGACGAAAGUCUGACCGAGCAACGCCGCGUGAGUGAAGAAGGUUUUCGGAUCGUAAAGCUCUGUUGUAAGAGAAGAACGGGUGUGAGAGUGGAAAGUUCACACUGUGACGGUAUCUGACCAGAAAGGGACGGCUAACUACGUG
rnacentral:rRNA from 1 species